rnacentral:tRNA from 1 species
GGGGAUUUAGCUCAGCGGCAUAAGCGCCUGCCUUGCAAGCAGGCAGUCGUGAGUUCGAUUCAUGGUACCGA